CAUAGCUUAGUUGGUUAGAGCGUUGGUCUUAUGAGUCGAAGGUCGCGAGUUCGAUCCUCGCUG
rnacentral:tRNA from 1 species